GUGCUUGCUUCAGCUACACAUAUACUAAUAUUGGAAUGAUAUAAAGAAGAAAAUUAGCAUGGCCCCUGUGCAUGACUUGCAAAUUCAUGAAGUAUACAUAUUUUUG